rnacentral:rRNA from 1 species
GCUGUGAAAACUCGGGGUUCAACUCCGAGCUUGCAGUCGAUACGGGCAGGCUAGAGUGCGGCAGGGGAGACUGGAAUUCCUGGUGUAGCGGUGAAAUGCGCAGAUAUCAGGAGGAACACCGGUGGCGAAGGCGGGUCUCUGGGCCGAUACUGACACUGAGGAGCGAAAGCGUGGGGAGCGAACAGGAUUAGAUACCCUGGUAGUCCACGCCGCAAACGUUGGGCGCUAGGUGUGGGA